rnacentral:rRNA from 1 species
GACGAACGCUGGCGGCGUGCCUAAUACAUGCAAGUUGAGCGCUGAAGGUUGGUACUUGUGCCAACUGGAUGAGCAGCGAACGGGUGAGUAACGCGUGGGGAAUCUGCCUUUGAGCGGGGGACAACAUUUGGAAACGAAUGCUAAUACCGCAUAAAAACUUUAAACACAAGUUUUAAGUUUGAAAGAUGCAAUUGCAUCACUCAAAGAUGAUCCCGCGUUGUAUUAGCUAGUUGGUGAGGUAAAGGCUCACCAAGGCGAUGAUACAUAGCCGACCUGAGAGGGUGAGCGGCCACAUUGGGACUGAGACACGGCCCAAACUCCUACGGGAGGCAGCAGUAGGGAAUCUUCGGCAAUGGACGAAAGUCUGACCGAGCAACGCCGCGUGAGGGAAGAAGGUUCUCGGAUCGUAAAACUCUGUUGGUAGGGAAGAAAGUUGGUGAGAGUGGAAAGCUCAUCAAGUGACGGGAACUACCCAGAAAGGGACGGCUAACUACGUG